ACUCUAGAAAGACUGCCGGUUAUAAACCGGAGGAAGGCGGGGAUGACGUCAAGUCAGCAUGCCCCUUACACCCUGGGCUACACACGUGCUACAUUGGGCGAGACAAUGAGAUGCAAACUUGCGAAGGUAAGCUAAUCUAUAAACUCGUUCUAAGUUCGGAUUGUAGGCUGCAACUCGCCUACAUGAAGUUGGAAUCGCUAGUAAUCGCUGGUCAGCUAUACAGCGGUGAAUUCGUUCCCGGGCCUUGUACACACCGCCCGUCACACCAUGGAAGUUGGUUAUACCCGAAGUCGUUACUCUAACCAUUUAUUUGGAGGAGGAUGCCUAAGGUAGAAUUGAUGACUGGGGUGAAGUCGUAACAAGGUAACCGUACUGGAAGGUGCGGUUGGAUCACCUCCUUU
rnacentral:rRNA from 1 species